UACGUAGGGUGCAAGCGUUAAUCGGAAUUAUUGGGCGUAAAGAGCUCGUAGGCGGUCUGUUGCGUCCGCUGUGAAAACUCGGGGCUUAACCCCGAGCCUGCAGUGGAUACGGGCAGACUAGAGGUAGGUAGGGGAGAAUGGAAUUCCCGGUGUAGCGGUGAAAUGCGCAGAUAUCGGGAGGAACACCGGUGGCGAAGGCGCCCACCUGGCCCUGCUACUGACGCUGAAGCUCGAAAGCUAGGGGAGCAACGGGA
rnacentral:rRNA from 1 species